rnacentral:rRNA from 1 species
AAGCGGGUGAAAAGCCCGCUCGCCGGAAGACCAAGGGUUCCUGUCCAACGUUAAUCGGGGCAGGGUGAGUCGACCCCUAAGGCGAGGCCGAAAGGCGUAGUCGAUGGGAAACGGGUUAAUAUUCCCGUACUUGGUGUUACUGCGAAGGGGGGACGGAGAAGGCUAUGUUGGCCGGGCGACGGUUGUCCCGGUUUAAGCGUGUAGGUGUGUGUUCCAGGUAAAUCCGGUUCACUUUAACACUGAGGCGUGAUGACGAGGCACUACGGUGCUGAAGCAACAAAUGCCCUGCUUCCAGGAAAAGCCUCUAAGCAUCAGGUAACAUCAAAUCGUACCCCAAACCGACACAGGUGGUCAGGUAGAGAAUACCAAGGCGCUUGAGAGAACUCGGGUGAAGGAACUAGGCAAAAUGGUGCCGUAACUUCGGGAGAAGGCACGCUGACAUGUAGGUGAAGUGAUUUACUCAUGGAGCUGAAGUCAGUCGAAGAUACCAGCUGGCUGCAACUGUUUAUUAAAAACACAGCACUGUGCAAACACGAAAGUGGACGUAUACGGUGUGACGCCUGCCCGGUGCCGGAAGGUUAAUUGAUGGGGUCAGCGCAAGCGAAGCUCCUGAUCGAAGCCCCGGUAAACGGCGGCCGUAACUAUAACGGUCCUAAGGUAGCGAAAUUCCUUGUCGGGUAAGUUCCGACCUGCACGAAUGGCGUAAUGAUGGCCAGGCUGUCUCCACCCGAGACUCAGUGAAAUUGAACUCGCUGUGAAGAUGCAGUGUACCCGCGGCAAGACGGAAAGACCCCGUGAACCUUUACUAUAGCUUGACACUGAACAUUGAGCCUUGAUGUGUAGGAUAGGUGGGAGGCUUUGAAGUGUGGACGCCAGUCUGCAUGGAGCCGACCUUGAAAUACCACCCUUUAAUGUUUGAUGUUCUAACGUGGACCCGUGAUCCGGGUUGCGGACAGUGUCUGGUGGGUAGUUUGACUGGGGCGGUCUCCUCCUAAAGAGUAACGGAGGAGCACGAAGGUUGGCUAAUCCUGGUCGGACAUCAGGAGGUUAGUGCAAUGGCAUAAGCCAGCUUGACUGCGAGCGUGACGGCGCGAGCAGGUGCGAAAGCAGGUCAUAGUGAUCCGGUGGUUCUGAAUGGAAGGGCCAUCGCUCAACGGAUAAAAGGUACUCCG